GCCCAGAUGGCGGAAUUGGUAGACGCGCUAGACUCAAAAUCUGGUUUCCGCAAGGGAGUGCAGGUUCGAUUCCUGUUCUGGGCA
rnacentral:tRNA from 1 species